rnacentral:rRNA from 1 species
UCCAGACUUUGAUUCUGGCUCAGGAUGAACGCUAGCUACAGGCUUAACACAUGCAAGUCGAGGGGCAGCAUGACGAUAGCUUGCUAUUGUUGAUGGCGACCGGCGCACGGGUGAGUAACGCGUAUCCAACCUGCCCUUGUCCAUCGGAUAACCCGUCGAAAGGCGGCCUAACACGAUAUGCAGUUCUCAGCAGGCAUCUAACGAGAACGAAAUGUGAAGGAGAAGGAUGGGGAUGCGUCUGAUUAGCUUGUUGGCGGGGUAACGGCCCACCAAGGCGACGAUCAGUAGGGGUUCUGAGAGGAAGGUCCCCCACAUUGGAACUGAGACACGGUCCAAACUCCUACGGGAGGCAGCAGUGAGGAAUAUUGGUCAAUGGGCGAGAGCCUGAACCAGCCAAGUAGCGUGCAGGAUGACGGCCCUAUGGGUUGUAAACUGCUUUUAUGCGGGGAUAAAGUGAGCCACGUGUGGCUUAUUGCAGGUACCGCAUGAAUAAGGACCGGCUAAUUCCGUGCCAGCAGCCGCGGUAAUACGGAAGGUCCGGGCGUUAUCCGGAUUUAUUGGGUUUAAAGGGAGCGUAGGCCGUCUGAUAAGCGUGUUGUGAAAUGUCGGGGCUCAACCUGGGCAUUGCAGCGCGAACUGUGAGACUUGAGUGCGCGGGAAGUAGGCGGAAUUCGUCGUGUAGCGGUGAAAUGCUUAGAUAUGACGAAGAACUCCGAUUGCGAAGGCAGCCUGCUGUAGCGCAACUGACGCUGAAGCUCGAAAGCGUGGGUAUCGAACAGGAUUAGAUACCCUGGUAGUCCACGCGGUAAACGAUGGAUGCUCGCUGUUUGCGUCUGACGUAAGCGGCCAAGCGAAAGCGUUAAGCAUCCCACCUGGGGAGUACGCCGGCAACGGUGCAACUCAAAUGAAUUGACGG